rnacentral:lncRNA from 1 species
GCAAUAUGGACGUGGUAGCUUUUAUCCAGAUAUUAAAAGAAUAAUAAUCCGGCUAAAAUUUGUAAUAGCCAAGAAAAUAAUCCGGCUAAAAUAACCAGGCUAAAACUAAUUAAAAACAUUAAACUAAAAUCUAAUUAACCAAAACAUAAUUAACCUAAACCUAACUAACUAAAACCUAAUUAACCCUUAACCUAAUUAACCAAAACUUAAUUAACCCUAAACCUAAUCUCUUUGCUGCCGCCUCCUCCUUCCUCCUUUGCCU